ACCUGUAGUGGUCUUACUGAAACAUUUUCGGACGCGGGUUCGAUUCCCGCCACCUCCAUUU
rnacentral:tmRNA from 1 species